UACGUAGGGUGCGAGCGUUGUCCGGAAUUAUUGGGCGUAAGGAGCUCGUAGGCGGCCUGUCGCGUCGGAUGUGAAAGCCCGGGGCUUAACCCCGGGUCUGCAUUCGAUACGGGCAGGCUAGAGUUCGGUAGGGGAGAUCGGAAUUCCUGGUGUAGCGGUGAAAUGCGCAGAUAUCAGGAGGAACACCGGUGGCGAAGGCGGAUCUCUGGGCCGAUACUGACGCUGAGGAGCGAAAGCGUGGGGAGCGAACAGG
rnacentral:rRNA from 1 species